rnacentral:rRNA from 1 species
UACCAGCACCCCGAGUGGUCGGGACGUUUAUUGGGCGUAAAGCAUCCGUAGCCGGUUCUACAAGUCUUCCGUUAAAUCCACCUGCUUAACAGAUGGGCUGCGGAAGAUACUAUAGAGCUAGGAGGCGGGAGAGGCAAGCGGUACUCGAUGGGUAGGGGUAAAAUCCGUUGAUCCAUUGAAGACCACCAGUGGCGAAGGCGGCUUGCCAGAACGCGCUCGACGGUGAGGGAUGAAAGCUGGGGGAGCAAACCGG